CCGCGGUAAUACGUAGGGUGCAAGCGUUGUCCGGAAUUAUUGGGCGUAAAGAGCUCGUAGGCGGAUACUUAAGUUAGGGGUGAAAUCCCAGGGCUCAACCCUGGAACUGCCUUUAAUACUGGGUAUCUUGAGUUCGAGAGAGGUGAGUGGAAUUCCGAGUGUAGAGGUGAAAUUCGUAGAUAUUCGGAGGAACACCAGUGGCGAAGGCGGCUCACUGGCUCGAUACUGACGCUGAGGUGCGAAAGCGUGGGGAGCAAACAGG
rnacentral:rRNA from 1 species